rnacentral:ncRNA from 1 species
UCUUAUCAAGAGAGGCGGAGGGACUGGCCCUAUGAAGCCCGGCAACCAAUAUAUUUAAAGUGGUUUUUAAAUAUAAGAAGGUGCUAAUUCCAGCAGUUAUAAAUAACUGAUAGAUAAGA